rnacentral:lncRNA from 1 species
UUUCAAGCAACAACUCACUACCAGAGGACAAAUAAGUAGCAGCCAAAUACAUAAGAUAACCAUAUACAACAAUAAGGAAUACAUUUCCUAGUGCAGUUUUUGUACAUGGUAAAAAACCAUAACUCUGUUCACACGUCUCCUCUGUUGCUGCUGCUGCAGCAGCUGAAUCAUAAAGUGAAAUAAUUCCUUCCUCGCCAACGCGAUGAACAACCCCAUCAGAGAUGAGAUCUGACGACGAAUGAUCAGAGAUAAUACGGCUGCCGCAGGCCGCUGCAGUUAAAAUGAGGAGAGUUAGGAGAGGCAGAAGAGAUUUGGAAAACAUAAUUGAUGAUAUUUUUUUCAUCGUUAGGAAGAACAAUAUGUGAUUGAAUAUUUUUGGCAUGAAUAUAUAUAUAUAGAGGGAGAUUUGUUAAUACGUCAUCUCAUAUUUAAGGGCUUGUUUGGUACACGGAUAAGGUAAUUAAUUUCAUAUUAAUUUUUGAUUGGAUAAAAUUAAUGCAUGAAAUAAUUUAUUUUUGAAAUUAUACUGUUAUUUUUAUUCUAUUUUAAGAGUAGAAUAACCUUAAAAUAACUUAUUUCCAAAGGAAUGAUUCCU